rnacentral:sRNA from 1 species
GUGGUCAGGGAUCGCCCCCCGUCAGCGAGUUUCGCCCACGGGGGACAAUUGUA